GAGAGACAAGCACAGUUCCAGAAUGUGAAAUCGCCAUGGUAAUGCUCUUCAUAACAUACUGGCUGAGGCUGAGAAUGGCACAGGCUUAACUUUAUGGAAUAUAAGCCUCCUGCUGUUGACAUGGAAAGCCUCUGAACAUCUUUACUUGGGAGGUUGUAAAGAUGGUUAGAAAUGUCUCCUGAUCUUGGAAGUGAAGCAUUGCUUGAAACUCUCCAUUUGCCUUUUGAAGGUGACUAGUGUUUCCAUAAGACCUGGAAGACAAGACAUAAUGUGGGACACAAAGGCAGACGAAGACUUAUUGCUCAUUCUUUUUUUUUCCACUUCCUGAAAUAGACAGUCCUUCCCUUCUGAUCCAAACCCUAUUCA
rnacentral:lncRNA from 1 species